UCUGUCUGUCUCUCUAAGGUACUACUCCAGUAAGCCCUUGUCUGUCUGUCUCUCUAAGGUAUUACUCCAGUAAGCCCCUGUCUAAGGUCCUACUCCAGUAAGCCCUUGUCUGUCUCUCUAAGGUACUACUCCAGUAAGCCUCCAAUUUUUCACAUUCAGAGACUAGAGCUGCACUCACAUGAGCUGCGUGUCUCCGCGCGUGUCUCCGCGCGUGUCUCUGCCCCAAUCUCUGUCCAGACUAAAACAGGUCCCAAUCCCAGCAGAAUAAAAGAGCAGUUCAGAGCAGCAAUACAGAAAAACACUGAGGAGUGGGACUGUUGGUCACCAAGGGGAGUGGGACUGUUGGUCACCAAGGGGAGUGGGACUGUUGGUCACCAAGGGGAGUGGGACUGUUGGUCACCAAGGGGAGUGGGACUGUUGGUCACCAAGGGGAGUGGGACUGUUGGUCAGCUUAAAGGGACUGGGACUGUUGGUCACCAAGGGGAGUGGGACUGUUGGUCACCUUAAGGGACUGGUACUGUUGGUCAGCUUAAAGGGACUGGUACUGUUGGUCAGCUUAAAGGGACUGGUACUGUUGGUCAGCUUAAAGGGACUGGUACUGAUGGUCAGCUUAAAGGGACUGGUACUGAUGGUCAGCUUAAAGGGACUGGGACUGAUGGUCAGUUUAAAGGGACUGGGACUGAUGGUCAGCUUAAAGGGACUGGGACUGUUGGUCAGCUUAAAGGAACUGGGACUGUUGGUCAGCUUAAAGGAACUGGGACUGUUCGUCACUAAGGGGACUGGGACUGUUCCUCACUAAGGGGACUGGGACUGUUCCUCACUAAGGGGACUGGGACUGUUCCUCACUAAGGGGACUGGGACUGUUCCUCACUAAGGGGACUGGGACUGUUCCUCACUAAGGGGACUGGGACUGUUCCUCACUUAAAGUCUCUCCAAGCGGGUGAGACUGAGGAUACGUCCCAAAUGGCACCCUAUUCCCUAUUUAGUGCACUACCUUUUGACCAGGGCCUAUAGGGCUCUGGUCAAAAGUAGAGCACUAAAUAGGGAAAUAAGAUGCCAUUUGAGGGACACACUAAGAGCCCUGCCUGGCUAGCGCAAGAGGCGGACGUUUAUUUCAGCCAGAGCUCUGUGUGAACAAAGAACAGGA
rnacentral:lncRNA from 1 species